rnacentral:tRNA from 1 species
GUCCCUGUCGAUUAGUGGUCAGAUCGUCACGUUGUGGAACUAGUAGUCCGUGAAGACGGAGGCUCGAAUCCUCCCUGGGACA